rnacentral:lncRNA from 1 species
UUGGAAGAAGGGGGCCCUUCCCCGCGCCCUGGCGCCCUCUAACACUGCAGUGCUCCAGAAGUAUAUAGCUGAGGCCCCCUUGCAAAUCCCUAGCAGCCCUGCUCCCCGAAAGGAAAACUUCAACGGAAAGGGGCUGGCAAGCUGCUACGGGAGGAACAGGGAAACUACGGACAAGUCGGCAUUUUGGAGCUAAUUGACUCCUAAAAUUCUCUUCAGAUAGAGAUCGCUUCUCUUCUCGGAGCUGCCUUCUCUCUCCCGUUCUGUUCAUCUACAAAACGGGUUGUGCGCCUUCUCCUCACGCCUCUCCUAGAGCAGAGCUAGCACGGCCUCUCCUCCAACUCCCCAGUCACCUUCCUCUUCUGACCUUUCCUGGAAGCCAGUCUCCCCCUCAGGGACAGGAAAAAGUCUCCCCUGCUCUCUGGCUUGAAAUCCUGCCUCACAUUUUGUCCCCAAAACCACGAGGAAAUUCUUUGCUGAACUCUUCCUUGGGUGGAGGAAGACAUAUUUUAUAUUCACAAAUUAUGAAGUAUUCUGUCUUAUUCUAUAUUCAUCAGGACUUUUCCAGGAGCUGA